UACGAGGGGGGCAAGCGUUGUUCGGAAUUAUUGGGCGUAAAGGGCGCGUAGGCGGUGCGGUAAGUCACCUGUGAAAACUCUGGGCUCAACUCAGAGCCUGCAGGCGAAACUGCCGUGCUUGAGUGUGGGAGAGGUGCGUGGAAUUCCCGGUGUAGCGGUGAAAUGCGUAGAUAUUGGGAGGAACACCGGUGGCGAAGGCGGCCCCCUGGACCGGUACUGACGCUGAUGCGCGAAAGCGUGGGUAGCAAACGGG
rnacentral:rRNA from 1 species